rnacentral:rRNA from 1 species
UACGUAGGGUGCGAGCGUUGUCCGGAAUUAUUGGGCGUAAAGAGCUCGUAGGCGGCUUGUCGCGUCGAGUGUGAAAUCCUGCGGCUCAACUGCAGGCUUGCAUUCGAUACGGGCAGGCUGGGGUUCGGUAGGGGAGACUGGAAUUCCUGGUGUAGCGGUGAAAUGCGCAGAUAUCGGGAGGAACACCGGUGGCGAAGGCGGUUCUCUGGGCCUGUACUGACGCUGAGGAGCGAAAGCGUGGGGAGCGAACAGG